AGGCAAGGUGAGUGAGUAGUGUUAGGCAAGGUGAGUAAGUAGUGUUAGGCAAGGUGAGUAAGUAGUGUUAGGCAAGGUGAGUAAGUAGUGUUAGGCAAGGUGAGUGAGUAUUGUUAGGCAAGGUGAGUAAGUAGUGUUGGGCAAGGUGAGUGAGUAGUGUUAGGCAAGGUGAGUGAGUAGUUUUAGGCAAGGUGAGUAAGUAGUGUUAGGCAAGGUGAGUAAGUAGUGUUAGGCAAGGUGAGUGAGUAUUGUUAGGCAAGGUGAGUGAGUAUUGUUAGGCAAGGUGAGUAAGUAUUGUUAGGCAAGGUGAGUAAGUAUUGUUAGGCAAGGUGAGUAAGUAGUGUUAGGCAAGGUGAGUAAGUAGUGUUAGGCAAGGUGAGUAAGUAUUGUUAGGCAAGGUGCGUAAGUAGUGUUGGGCAAGGUGCGUAAGUAGUGUUGGGCAAGGUGAGUAAGUAGUGUUAGGCAAGGUGAGUGAGUAUUGUUAGGCAAGGUGAGUGAGUAUUGUUAGGCAAGGUGAGUAAGUAUUGUUAGGCAAGGUGAGUAAGUAUUGUUAGGCAAGGUGAGUAAGUAUUGUUAGGCAAGGUGAGUAAGUAGUGUUAGGCAAGGUGAGUAAGUAUUGUUAGGCAAGGUGAGUAAGUAGUGUUAGGCAAGGUGAGUGAGUAGUGUUAGACAAGGUGAGUAAGUAGUGUUAGGCAAGGUGAGUAAUUAGUGUUAGGCAAGGUGAGUGAGUAUUGUUAGGCAAGGUGAGUAAGUAUUGUUAGGCAAGGUGAGUAAGUAGUUUUAGGCAAGGUGAGUAAGUAGUUUUAGGCAAGGUGAGUAAGUAGUGUUAGGCAAGGUGAGUAAGUAUUGUUAGGCAAGGUGCGUAAGUAGUGUUGGGCAAGGUGAGUAAGUAGUGUUAGGCAAGGUGAGUGAGUAUUGUUAGGCAAGGUGAGUGAGUAUUGUUAGGCAAGGUGAGUAAGUAUUGUUAGGCAAGGUGAGUAAGUAUUGUUAGGCAAGGUGAGUAAGUAGUGUUAGGCAAGGUGAGUAAGUAGUGUUAGGCAAGGUGAGUGAGUAGUGUUAGGCAAGGUGAGUAAGUAGUGUUAGGCAAGGUGAGUAAUUAGUGUUGGGCAAGGUGAGUGAGUAGUGUUGGGCAAGGUGAGUGAGUAGUGUUAGGCAAGGUGAGUAAGUAUUGUUAGGCAAGGUGAGUGAGUAGUGUUAGGCAAGGUGAGUAAGUAGUGUUAGGCAAGGUGAGUAAGUAUUGUUAGGCAAGGUGCGUAAGUAGUGUUGGGCAAGGUGCGUAAGUAGUGUUGGGCAAGGUGAGUAAGUAGUGUUAGGCAAGGUGCGUAAGUAGUGUUGGGCAAGGUGCGUAAGUAGUGUUGGGCAAGGUGAGUAAGUAGUGUUAGGCAAGGUGAGUGAGUAUUGUUAGGCAAGGUGAGUGAGUAUUGUUAGGCAAGGUGAGUAAGUAGUGUUAGGCAAGGUGAGUAAGUAGUGUUAGGCAAGGUGGGUAAGUAGUGUUAGGCAAGGUGAGUGAGUAGUGUUAGGCAAGGUGAGUAAGUAGUGUUAGGCAAGGUGAGUAAGUAGUGUUAGGCAAGGUGAGUAAGUAGUGUUAGGCAAGGUGAGUGAGUAUUGUUAGGCAAGGUGAGUAAGUAGUGUUAGGCAAGGUGAGUAAGUAGUGUUAGGCAAGGUGAGUGAGUAGUGUUAGGCAAGGUCAGUAAGUAUUGUUAGGCAAGGUGAGUAAGUAGUGUUAGGCAAGGUGAGUAA